rnacentral:rRNA from 1 species
CCCCAAGUGUGGGGAAUAACCCCUCGAAAGAGGAGCUAAUACCGCAUACGCUCUCUAGUGAUAGCUUGAGAGGAAACGCUUUUCGUGACAGAAGAGUGGCACAUGGAUGGGACUGCGGCGGAUUAGCUAGAUGGUGGGGUAACGGCCUACCAUGGCGACGAUCCGUAGCUGGUCUGAGAGGACGACCAGCCACACUGGGACUGAGACACGGCCCAG